CAGUGCCACGGGAAUACGUAGGGUGCAAGCGUUAAUCGGAAUUACUGGGCGUAAAGCGUGCGCAGGCGGUUAUAUAAGACAGAUGUGAAAUCCCCGGGCUCAACCUGGGAACUGCAUUUGUGACUGUAUAGCUAGAGUACGGCAGAGGGGGAUGGAAUUCCGCGUGUAGCAGUGAAAUGCGUAGAUAUGCGGAGGAACACCGAUGGCGAAGGCAAUCCCCUGGGCCUGUACUGACGCUCAUGCACGAAAGCGUGGGGAGCAAACAGGAUUAGAGACCCGCGUAGUCCCUGUCUCUUAUACA
rnacentral:rRNA from 1 species